CUACGGGGUGCUCCAGUGAGGAAUAUUGCACAAUGGGGGGAACCCUGAUGCAGCAACGCCGCGUGGAGGAUGACGCAUUUCGGUGUGUAAACUCCUUUUAUAUGUCAAGAAAAUGACGGUAGCAUAUGAAUAAGCACCGGCUAACUCCGUGCCAGCAGCCGCGGUGAAUAGGGAGGGUGCAAGCGUUACUCGGAAUCACUGGGCGUAAAGGACGCGUAGGCGGGUUGGAAAGUCAGGUGUGAAAUCCUACAGCUUAACUGUAGAACUGCACUUGAAACUUCUAAUCUAGAGUAUGGGAGGGGGAGAUGGAAUUAGUGGUGUAGGGGUAAAAUCCGUAGAUAUCACUAGGAAUACCUAAAGCGAAGGCGAUCUCCUGGAACAUUACUGACGCUAAGGCGUGAAAGCGUGGGGAGCAAACAGGAUUAGAUACCCCCGUAGUC
rnacentral:rRNA from 1 species